ACUCCUGAUGGUAUCACAGAAGACAGAGAAUGGCUCCAGUUCAUCGUUUGAGAGGCGACGAUUCAAGCGCAGUGGUCUACAUAUGUACGUAUGUUUGUUCGGGAAGUAUUCGAUGACCUCGGGUACAGAAAGCACCACAAUGUCGUCGUCUUUAAAAAAAAAACCAUCGCGACAACUCUCAUAGGUGUCCGUAAAUGCCCUGUUGCAAUGAUUUAUUUCUGAUGCUAUCAAACAAUCCUCUUUGAGUAGAGACGAGGCACACACAAAUGCCUCCAGAGUUUGACUUUUAAUUAUAGCAAGAAAAAGUAAAAACAAAAAUAGAUGAACAAUAGCGAUUUAUUUUAUUUAUAAUAAAGAAGAUGUGGUAUGAUUGACAAUGGGACAACUCUACAAAAGAGACCAAACGACACAGAAAUUAGAAUAUUCAAAAAUAUAAAACAAAAAAGAGGUUGAUCUUUGCUCUUUUAAAGCUAACUAUAUGGUAUGGGUUUUCUCAUUAUUGAAUGACUUACAUAUCUUACAUUAAAAUGGUUGACAUCCUUGUCGUGGUUGUUGAGAUAUUUGUUUGAGAGUUGUCUCAUUGGCAUUCAUACCGCGUCUUCUUGUUUUUAUAUUAGUAUCGAUACUUACUUUCUGCGGAAGAGCAGAUAUUUUCACCGUAUUCAAUUAUUGACAAAACACUAAAACUGAGAAUAGAAAUGGGUAUUUUUUUAAAGAGACAACAACCCGACCAAAUAGCAGACAACAGCUGAAGGUUGCCAAUGGGUCUUCAAUGCAGCGAGAAACUCCCACAGAUCCGAAAACUGUGCACAUGCUACAAAUAUUUCGUCAUUCUUUUAUCAAGUUUCUGAGAAUAAGAUUACGGAAAUAUUUGUUUGAAUGACAAGGAGAUUGCAAUAUUUCUCCCAAGAGUUAGGUAUAAUGAAAUCUUGAGUUUGGUUACUUUGUGUUUUUGAAUCUCUUGUCUUAUUAAAACGGAUAUAUAUAAUACUGGAUAUGGAUCACUGAUAAUGUGAUGGCAACAAACAGAUUCAAGUCAAUUAAACGGCAUCUGAAAUCUAGCAUAAACAUGUUAAACUAAUGAAAUAUUCUUCAAAAUUUACAAAUGAUAAGCAAUGUACAUUCGUAAUUGUAAUUGACAUGCAUGUGAUAAAAAAAAUAAAUUAGUAAAAUGAUUAAAGAUGGGAAAUGAUAUCAAAUAUUGUAUUUUAUUUGAAGGUUUAUAACUACCCGGUAUAGAAAGGAGCAACUAGAAGUUGGAAUCCACAAGAUCAGAAGGCGAUACACCAUUUGAAAGACAAUUCUAUAGUUAGCGUGUCAAAAAAAAAGAUUUGAAAAGUUGUUAAACCUGAGCGGGUAUAUAACGCUGGAUUAUACAACAUGCAAAUAAAUAUGAUUAAACAGCGAAAAAAUUGCACAGAGGAGUUCACUGCAACAAAAUUGUCCUGGGAUAUGUCCAUAGCAUUUGUUACUUAUGUUACAUAUUACUCGGCUUACUUUAUAAAUGAAUGAGUUGAUGUAAUGUCUAGAGCGGUUUUCAGAUCGGCUAGGCAGUUGUUUUUCUUUGAUAAUUUUUUUAAUUAUUUAUUCCCGUUGAAUAUGUAAUGUGUAAUCAUUCAUUUAUACGUCUUUUAUUCACUGAAAUGAUUUUAUUUUUGGUACGAGGCUUCUAAUUUUUCAAGUAUACGAGGCAAGCAUUUUUUUACAUGACAUGCUAUGAUAUGAUUAUGCUUUUUUAAUAUUC
rnacentral:lncRNA from 1 species